UGGCUGCUGCGGCGCUGGGAGCUGAAUGUUGCUAGGGUUUCUUGCUUCUGUUUUGUGUUUUGGGCUCAUUGGGCUAGAGGUUUUUAGGCUAGUGGGCUAGGUUAAAUUUAGGUUUUGGGCUUCGGUUAAUUGGUUUUGGUUGUAAUUUUGGGUUUCUGUUAACUGUUUAAUAGACUUAUUUAUGUAAAUGGACUUUUAAUUUUUUUUUGUUUUUAUAUUGGUUUUAUUUAUUUACAUGGGCCCGAGCAUAUUGGGCUAUUACAGCUGCCCCUCUUUGCUCGUUGUCGUGUA
rnacentral:lncRNA from 1 species